UAUCUCUCUGUACAGGGAAGGAUGAGAAGCUUCGAUUAAGGUUCGACUCGAGCGGAAGCGAGAGAACGUUGCCAACGGCAACAGCCCGAAGGGCGCGACGCGCCGAGUCAUCCUUCCCCCACCAUAA
rnacentral:sRNA from 1 species